rnacentral:rRNA from 1 species
GACGAACGCUGGCGGCGUGCCUAAUACAUGCAAGUAGAACGCUGAAGGAGGAGCUUGCUCUUCUGGAUGAGUUGCGAACGGGUGAGUAACGCGUAGGUAACCUGCCUGGUAGCGGGGGAUAACUAUUGGAAACGAUAGCUAAUACCGCAUAACAGUAGAUGUUGCACGACAUUUGCUUAAAAGGUGCAAUUGCACCACUACCAGAUGGACCUGCGUUGUAUUAGCUAGUUGGUGGGGUAACGGCUCACCAAGGCGACGAUACAUAGCCGACCUGAGAGGGUGAUCGGCCACACUGGGACUGAGACACGGCCCAGACUCCUACGGGAGGCAGCAGUAGGGAAUCUUCGGCAAUGGACGGAAGUCUGACCGAGCAACGCCGCGUGAGUGAAGAAGGUUUUCGGAUCGUAAAGCUCUGUUGUAAGAGAAGAACGAGUGUGAGAGUGGAAAGUUCACACUGUGACGGUAUCUUACCAGAAAGGGACGGCUAACUACGUG